rnacentral:rRNA from 1 species
AUUGAACGCUGGCGGCAUGCUUUACACAUGCAAGUCGAACGGCAGCGCGGGCUUCGGCCUGGCGGCGAGUGGCGAACGGGUGAGUAAUGCAUCGGAACGUGCCCAGUAGUGGGGGAUAGCCCGGCGAAAGCCGGAUUAAUACCGCAUACGACCUGAGGGUGAAAGCGGGGGACCGAAAGGCCUCGCGCUAUUGGAGCGGCCGAUGUCGGAUUAGCUAGUUGGUGGGGUAAAGGCUUACCAAGGCGACGAUCCGUAGCUGAUCUGAGAGGACGACCAGCCACACUGGGACUGAGACACGGCCCAGACUCCUACGGGAGGCAGCAGUGGGGAAUUUUGGACAAUGGGGGCAACCCUGAUCCAGCCAUGCCGCGUGCGGGAAGAAGGCCUUCGGGUUGUAAACCGCUUUUGUUCGGGAAGAAAUCCUCUGGGCUAAUACCCCGGGGGGAUGACGGUACCGGAAGAAUAAGCACCGGCUAACUACGUG